rnacentral:lncRNA from 1 species
UAAGUUUAGUGACAACUACACAGUUUCGGCCGGAGACCGACAACGUUAGUAAACUACCUAAACUAACAAGGGCUUCUUUAUUCACGUAUAACUAUAAAUAAUUUUUNUUAUGUGUUAUACACCAGGCCAAAUAAACAAAUAAAGCCAAAUAAACAAAUAAAAUAGUAGGCCAAAGCAGGUAACAUGAUCCAUACUCAACCCCUGUUAUCACGAAAUUGGCCAAGUAGCUUAAUUUAACUACGUUAUAGAAAUAGUUGGCUCCGCAAUCCCGAAGGGGUCUUUAGUUGUAGCUUUCUUUGGUUGCAGUCCUACUACAACGGAGUAAAACGGCAGGCUUUCGGCCACGUAACGUUAUAAGUGUCCCGAUUUUUAGUUUGCAACUUUGUUCUUAAUCUACUACGUUAAGUUUCGCUAGGGAAAUACUACUAGUUGACGUGUGAACUUGAAACUCAAGUUAUAAGAGCUUUUAGCUUGAAUAAACGUAGCUUAAUUACGUAAAGUUACUUUGGCUAAGCCAACGAAACCGUUGGUUUAGAGGCCGUAGGCCUAAGCCGUCGUUAAGCCACACGUAAGCUUGGCCGUUGCACAUCCGACCAUAGGCCGGAUAAUACUUAUUAUAGUUUCGGUCGGAGGCUUAUUUGGAUUUUAUCGUCAUUGUAGCUUAAAGAUGUUUUUAGGAGCAAAGCCCAGUGAGUUGGCACUUAACUUAGUGAACAUGUCGGCUCACGGAGCUUUGUCCCUGAUUUGCCGAAGUCGACAAAGUAUAAAAUAAAAGACCAUGCUCCGCCGUUUACUAGGCUUUGGCCGAGGACUAGCUUGGUCUGAGACC